rnacentral:rRNA from 1 species
AAUCAACGCUGGCGGCGUGCCUCAGACAUGCAAGUCGAACGAUUAAAGCUCCCUUCGGGGAGUGCAUAAAGUGGCGCACGGGUGAGUAACACGUAAGUAAUCUACCCUCGGGUGGGGAAUAACGUCCGGAAACGGACGCUAAUACCGCAUAAUGCAGCGGCACCGCAAGGUGACAGUUGUUAAAGAUUUAUUGCCUGGGGAGGAGCUUGCGGCAGAUUAGCUAGUUGGUAAGGAACGGCUUACCAAGGCUACGAUCUGUAUCCGGUCUAAGAGGACGGUCGGACACACUGACACUGAAUAACGGGUCAGACUCCUACGGGAGGCAGCAGUCGGGAAUUUUGGGCAAUGGGGGAAACCCUGACCCAGCAACGCCGCGUGAAGGAUGAAGUAUUUCGGUAU